GCCUCCGAGACACUUUGCCUGAGUUCCGCCGCCGUUCCAGGUUUACUCAGAUUUUUGAUGGCAGUAGUGCCUUAUACAGCCACCGGGACAUAAGCAGUGAGGCAUUGGUCUGGUGAUGAGAACCUCCACUGCUCUUGGACAGAAACCACUUCUCAUGACAUCAUCACUUUACAGUGGCCAGUAGUAGUUUUUCUUUACCAAUGACUUUACUGAGACUAAACAUCUGAGUGUGAAGAGAGGAGCUGACAGCUGUAACCUGACCAUCUCCAAGACAGAGUCAGGGGACUCAGCUACAUACUACUGUGGUGUUAUGGAAGAGGGCAAACUCAAAUUUGGAGAAGGAACUGUUUUAAUUGUCAAAGGUUCAGAGUCCAACAGCAUGUCUGUGCUCCAGCAGCCUGUGUCUGAGUCAGUUCAGCCAGGAGACUCUGUGACUCUGAACUGUACAAUACACACUGAGACCUGUGCAGGAGAACACAGUGUCUAUUGGUUCAGACAUGGCUCAGGAGAAUCCCAUCCAGGAAUCAUUUACACCCAUGGAGACAGGAGUGAUCAGUGUGAGAAGAGCCCUGAGGCUGGGUCUCCUACACAGAGUUGUGUCUACAACCUCCCCAAGAGGAACCUCAGCCUCUCUGAUGCUGGGACUUACUACUGUGCUGUGGCCUCAUGUGGGGAGAUCCUGUUGGGGAACGGGACCAAGCUGGAUGUUGAAGAUGAGAAUCCUGGUCCUCUCCAUCAUAAGAACUGGAGUUCUCCUCUGCUGUCUGACCAUAAUCUACCUCACCAGGAAAUAGAUAAAGCUAAGGACACUGUCAAUAGACUAGAGAUUGGUUUUGGAGUAAAGUCAGAGAUACUGUAUCAUCGCUAUGCAUUGCAAAUUAUGAUUAAUUGAGAUAGCUUAUUUGCUCGUAUUGCACUGCUCUCCUGAAAUCCCUGUAUACAGAAUGUGCCCUCUUUUUUCAUUAAUAAAUAACUUCAUUCUCUUG